AACGGCGAGUGAAGCGGCAAGAGCUCAAAUUUGAAAUCUGGCCUCCUUCGGGGGUCCGAGUUGUAAUUUGUAGAGGAUGCUUCGGGUGUGGCCGCCGUCUAAGUUCCUUGGAACAGGACGUCAGAGAGGGUGAGAAUCCCGUCUUGGGCGGCUGGUCCGCGCCCGUGUGAAGCUCCUUCGACGAGUCGAGUUGUUUGGGAAUGCAGCUCUAAGCGGGUGGUAAAUUUCAUCUAAAGCUAAAUACUGGUCGGAGACCGAUAGCGCACAAGUAGAGUGAUCGAAAGGUUAAAAGCACCUUGAAAAGGGAGUUAAACAGCACGUGAAAUUGUUGAAAGGGAAGCGCUUGCGGCCAGACUCGGGGGCGGGGUUCAGCGGGUGCUCGUCGCCCGUGCACUCCCCGUCUCCCGGGCCAGCAUCAGUUUCGACGGCCGGUCAAAGGCCCCCGGAAUGUGUCGUCUCUCGGGACGUCUUAUAGCCGGGGGUGCAAUGCGGCCCGUUGGGACUGAGGAACGCGCUCCGGCUCGGAUGCUGGCGUAAUGGCCGUAAGCGGCCCGUCUUGAAACACGGACCAAGGAGUCUAACAUCCACGCGAGUGUUCGGGUGUCAAACCCGUGCGCGCAGUGAAAGCGAACGGAGGUGGGAGCCUUAGGGCGCACCAUCGACCGAUCCUGAAGUCUUCGGAUGGAUUUGAGUAGGAGCGUGGCCGUUGGGACCCGAAAGAUGGUGAACUAUGCCUGAAUAGGGUGAAGCCAGAGGAAACUCUGGUGGAGGCUCGCAGCGGUUCUGACGUGCAAAUCGAUCGUCAAAUUU
rnacentral:rRNA from 1 species